UGCAAAUGAACAUUGUUGUUCAAUUUCUGCUGUGAACAGUCUCCCAAGGCAUGUUGUAUCAGGAUUUUGGAAUGUCUUUGAUACCUUAAGGAUACACAGUACCUCAUAUAUUUUCUAGAUGGUGCGCACAAAGCAGCUUUCGCUUAAAAUAUGGCUAUAUUGUGUUGACUCAAUAUUCCAUGAUUGUAAUUUAAAGUAAAACGUGUAUGAGUUAUUUGAGGUGUGGCUAAGUAGGCGGCCCAUUGCUCACAGGCUGCCUUCAUGUGGUGCUAAUGUCACUGACUUACCAAUAAAUUACCUUCCAUGUCUUUUAUUCGCAUUGUGUGUGCUUACGUUGUGAAGAAUUAAGGACAGCCUGCUCGUCCACUUGUGAUUAAUCCAAUACUGUUGAGCCUCAGGUUACGAAUGACAUGCUUAAUAAACAAAUUGGCUUGUGCACAACAAUUUCAAAGAAAAACAACCUCGAUUUGCCCACAAUUUUCAUGUUGCGAACCAUUUUUGUAUGGACGCACUGAAGGAUCGUUUGUGAUUGGCUCUGUGCAUCGAGUGUUAUGAGUAAGGUGUAUUGUUUUUGUUCUUUUUUUUUCAUCUUAAAUAGCCCUCAGAAUGGCUCCUAGGAAAUAGGUGACUGCUCACAAUAGUGCUAGGAAGCUCGUGACAUGGAUGAGUGGAAGUGCUGCGUGUCACAUGCUUAUUAGCAAGUACAGUACUACUUGUAUAUCUUUUUUUUCAUAAUUAGCCCACAAAAGACUCCUAAGAAAAAGAAAACUGCUGGAGAUAGUGUUAUUAGGUAGCCAAUUACAUAGUUUAAAAAAAAGUAGUCAUUGCUAAAUUUGUUGGGCAAAUUUGCAAAAUGUACCAUCUCAACUAUUUUAUGAUUGAUAAUAAAUCAUAUCACACAUUUCCAAAUCCAGAUGCUUCACACAAAAAAUGAAAAUUCUAAAAAAACAAAACAAACAACCAAUAAUAAUAAAGAAAGAAAGAAACCUAGCGGCACAGCAGUCGACUAGUUAGCACAUAGGCCUCACAGUGCAAAGGUGCAGAGUUUGAUUCCGGCUCCGUCUUUCCUGUGUGAAGUUUGCAUGUUCUCUCUGGAUAGAAAAACUUGAUCAUCUGUGGAUGCAGAUGGGGCAGAACGAAUUCCCCGAGUCCACAGCUCUCCCUGUGUUAGCUAGCCUGAAGAUAGUGAUGACUACCUCGCCACAGCGAGCUGGCAAGCCUCAAGAAGGCCACUGAACGUUAACCACAGCACCGGUGGUGAAAGUCUGCCCUUAAUCCACUUCCUUUUCUUGCAUUUCAUUGCGCUGUCUAUUACUGUUGAAUGACACAGCAUUGUUCACAUUCACCAUAGAUACUGCUGGACCACAAUUCAUAGAACGUUUUGGGCCAGAACAUAAACAGUACUGAUGUGAGAUAAAGUCAAAGAUGUUUCUUAAUUAAUGCCCUGUUUUUAAAUUCAUAUUAGAGUGGGUGUCAGUUCACUUAUUUCUAUAUUCUAUUCUCUUUAUUCUAACGACACAUUGCUCAAAAUAAGGUAAGUAAACCUUGAUUUUGUGGCUGCAACAGAAUAAUUGGGUUGCCAAUCUUUUCAAUACCUUCGUAAACCGAGUUACCACUGUGCAUGCUUUAUUUCAUUUGUCAUUUUACUCUUGUCCAUUAUAUACAUUUUGACUUCAUGAGCCCAUCUUGCGUAUGAAUUUCUAAAAUGCUGUCAAAGCAGCCUGGUGUUGUAUAAAUAAACAUGCCCUCCCUUCCAUGAAGCUUGACUGAGUCGUCAUAGGGGCAACCUUGUGGAUCGUUCCGAAUCGACAACACUUUUAGCAAUAAUGUCCAGCCUUGACACUUUCGGCAUCUUCAUUUGAGAUGGAUGAGCAGAUGUGUUUCCCCUGACCUUCGACCUGGCAUUGACCUUUAUGUGAACACCCACAAAGAUACAUACCAGCCUUUAUUUAACUGUGCCUGCUAAUGUGAACUUUGUUUCUGUCCCGUUGCAAUAAUGUCUUCUCAUGCCUGUUGCCGCCCACUCAACCAAGAAUGGAUUGGCUCAGUUAGCUCACGUGGCGGCAGAAGCAGACCUGAGGGUUCCCUUUGCAGACGAGCUUCCCUCAAGACAAGCCCAGCUUGCUACACUCAAAAGCAAAGAAUUUGACAUCCUGGUAAUUGGAGGCGGAGCCACGGGUGUAGGCUGUGCCUUAGACGCUGUCACACGCAAUCUUAACACUGCUCUCGUCGAGAGGAACGACUUCUCUUCCGGGACGAGCAGCCGUAGCACCAAACUCAUUCACGGUGGAGUCCGCUACCUCCAGAAGGCUGUUAUGAAACUGGACUAUGAGCAGUACAUGAUGGUAAAAGAAGCCCUCCAAGAGCGAGCCAAUCUCCUCGAGGUUGCACCUCACCUCUCAGCGCCACUCCCCAUCAUGCUGCCUGUUUACAAAUGGUGGCAGCUUCCGUAUUACUGGGCAGGCAUUAAGAUGUACGACCUGGUGGCUGGCAUCCAGUGUUUAAAAAGCAGUUACGUUCUCAGUAAGACCAAAGCCCUGGAGUUCUUUCCCAUGCUAAAGAAGGACAAGCUGGUGGGAGCCAUUGUCUAUUAUGAUGGGCAACACAAUGAUGCCCGUAUGAACCUAGCCAUCGGUCUCACGGCUGCCCGCUACGGUGCUGCCAUGGCCAACUACACCGAGGUGGUUCACCUUCUGAAGAAAAAGGACCCGCUGACUGGCAGUGACAAGGUGUGUGGAGCACACUGCCGGGAUGUGCUCACAGGAGAGGAAUUCAAUAUCAAAGCCAAAUGUGUAAUCAAUGCCACCGGACCCUUCACCGACUCAGUGAGGAAGAUGGAUUGCCAGGAAACCCAAAACAUCUGCCAGCCCAGCGCCGGCGUGCACAUCGUCAUCCCCGGCUACUACAGCCCUGACAACAUGGGACUUUUGGAUCCAGCCACAAGUGAUGGCCGGGUCAUCUUCUUCCUGCCUUGGGAGAAGAUGACCAUUGCUGGAACGACAGACACUCCCACCAAUGUGACAGCUCACCCCAUCCCUGGGGAGGACGACAUCAACUUCAUCCUGAGGGAGGUCCGCAACUAUCUCAGCCCCGACGUGGAGGUGAGACGAGGUGACGUCUUGGCAGCAUGGAGUGGAAUCCGUCCCCUGGUGACGGACCCCAACUCCAAAGACACUCAGUCCAUCUGCCGUAACCACAUUGUCAGCAUCAGUGACAGCGGACUAGUCACCAUUGCAGGUGGCAAGUGGACCACCUAUAGAUCAAUGGCUGAAGAGACUCUGGACGCCGCCAUUAAAACACAUGGCCUCCCAGCUGAGAAAUGCAAGACUGUGGGCCUGAUGUUAGAGGGUUCCAAGGGCUGGACGCCAACACUUUACAUCCGUCUGGUCCAAGACUACGGCUUGGAGCAGGAAGUGGCACAGCAUUUGGCCUCUACGUAUGGAGGGAAGGCAUAUGACGUGGCCAAGAUGGCGCUGGUCACAGGGCAAAGGUGGCCGAUAGUUGGGAAAAGGCUGGUGUCGGAGUUUCCAUACAUUGAGGCUGAGGUGCUGUAUGCUAUGAAGGAGUACGCCUGCACCGCCAUUGACCUCAUUGCCCGGCGAACGCGAUUGGGUUUCCUGAAUGUGCAGGCAGCCGACGAAGCCCUCCCACGCAUUGUGCAGAUCAUGGCCAAGGAGUUGGGCUGGAGCCAGGAGCGCAAAACGGCCGAGCUGGAAGCAGCCAAGAAGUUCUUGUACCAUGAGAUGGGCUACAGAUCUCGCUCCGAGCAGUUGACCAAGACCUCGGAAAUGACCCUGGACAACCAGGAAGUAGCCAGAUACAAGAAGCGCUUUCAUAAGUUUGACAAAGAGCGCAAAGGUUUCAUCACCACAGUUGAUGUCCAGCAAGUCCUUGAUAGUAUCAAUGUGCACAUUGAUGAGAACGCCCUCCAUGAAAUUCUUAAUGAGGUGGACGUCAACAAGAAUGGACAGAUUGAAAUUGAUGAAUUCCUUCAGGUACGUAAUGGCCCGUUAUUGUGCUUGCAGGGAUGUGUACUGUAUUCAUCCUACCGCGAACUACGACAAUCUGUCAUUUUCUGUGUAGUUGCAUUCCAUGCUCUUCUUUUCAGCAGCGAACAUGAAAAAGAGAGCAAGGGGGGUUUGUGCGCUUGAGACUUGCUGCACACAGCAGGUGUGAACUCUCCUCACCUUUGAAACUAAUUAGGACAGAGAAUGUGCGACAGGUAUAAUGAGGGCUCCUGCCUCUAUCUGUUGCUAUAUGAUUUUCUCACUUUGCUCUGACGUGAGAAGAGAGAUUCAUUAUGAGGGAGGAUGAUGGCAGUUGGUGCUUUUGUCUUCAUUAGCAUGAGCUGCUCUUGAGCACAUAUCCGGUCAGACCCUCCAGGGGACAGCAGUAUUUGUAAAAAAGGCUUAUGAUCAUUUAAAAAAAAUAAAUCCUGUUCCUAAAUGUCAGUGUUUGUUUUUGCUCAUGUGUCCAUCCCGCUCAUGGCCGAUUUAGAGACUGCAAUCAGUUGAUGAGUGCCGUCAAGAAGGGCCAAGUGUCUGACAGUCGCUUGGCUAUCUUGAUGAAGUCAGCCGAGGAAACGCUUGAUAUGAGGGGCCCGGUGACGGUGGACCGAAGCGGAGGAGGAGUCUGAGCCCGGCCUUUCACGAAGGUUUCCUGUCACAGACCUCAUUUGAAUGACAAUGCAAUCAGGGAGGCGACAGCGGGGAUUUGGCCAAAUCAACAGCAAAUGGGCGCCGCUCCUGACUGUGUUUUGGGCUGAAAUACAAUCCAAUUAUUGAGGUUUGUUUUCCUGAGCCGCCUGUUUGUCUGCAUGUUGAUUGGUUCUCAGCAUCAGGAGCCUCCAAUUUUCCACGGUGCGCAAUGGGACUAUUUAUGGAAACUUUUUUUCAUCAAAUAUUUGAUAUUUCUACCUUUAUAUCUAUUUAACACUCCUUUUUUAAAACUCAACACUGAUUGUUCCGUAAGCUCUUCUCAUUUUAUCGGAAUUGAAUCUUGUGCUUUAUUCAAGCGUCCCACAAUGUUUUUUUUUUAAUUCGACUGCAACAUUUGAUUUGAUGCUAAUCACAAGAAAACUAUAGGCAAAGACGCUGAUUACAAGAAACUAUUAGCAUACGCUCUGAAAAUUGUGGAAAAAAACCUCCUCAAAUUGGGUCAAAUGGUUAACCUAGGUCUAGUGGGUGCUGAUCUAAUGCUGGAUUAUUGGUAGCGGGUGCAUUGGGUUGAGGAUUUGACCCAGCAUGAUGGGUUGGCUUUUAAUUGUGUCAGGUGUUUAGGGUGUCCCCCCCCAAGGAACACUUUUCAUAUAAUUGUGUAUUUGAUUGAAGUGCAGUUUCAUGUAUACAUCCACAAUCCUUUGAAAGGUUGGAAUACACAUUCUCAUGCUACUGAAUUACAAAACUGUAGAUCAAUAAACCAAUUGUCAAGAGGCUGUGCCAAUUCAAACACAAGACACCGUAGACCUACAAAGUAAGAUGUUUCUGAACUCUGUGUUACUGUCCAAGCAUUGUCUUGUACAAGCACUUCAACACCUGCUGUAUGUAUUGCCUCUUUUAUGCAAGAGAGACUUUUGAAGAAUCUCCAGGAAGCUGAAGGUGCACAACUUGCUCAACAUUUGCCAUAACACCUGCAAACUCCCACUGAUACUGAUGUUUACAGGUUUUGAACUUUACCUGUACUGUUUCUGCACUUGUUUAAAAAUAUUUACAGUAUAUAUGUUGGGGGUUUUUUUGUUUGUUUUUUUUUUACUGCGGACAUUUAAAAUGAGAUAUUUACUGAGUUGCAAUUAAUAUAUUUACACUCUUUGCAAAACAGGGUUGAAAAGGGAUUCUAUAUUUGUAUUUAGACAAAUGACAUGCUCAUAUACUCCCAACUAUUGUACUUUUUUCUUUUUGGAAGUGGUGUUUGUGUGUACUCUACGUUAACGCCGUGAAUGAGGUGUUGUUUUUCAACAAGUCCGAGCACACUCCAUGUUCAUAAUUAGGAAAGAAGGAAUGUAGGACGUGUGCCUUCUCAGGUUGAGACAAAGCCACUGCUAGAUACUGCCAUGAUAUUUUACAAGGAAUAAACCGAGCUUUACGGUGUUCUCGUGAUGUCAAGUUUCAAGAAUGUAACUGUAGAAGCUUACAACUCAGUUGAAUACAUAUUCUUGGAUAUGUUUUAUUCAUCCAAUUGGACCCCCAAAAGCUCAUGUCAAUAUGUGCCUCUCUGAAUUGUGACGCAGCCCAUCAAGGAGUUGUGCAUUUUGUGACUGUCCUCACAUUGAUUUUGUCUUCCGUAUUUUCACAGCGAAGACCGUCAAACUGCCAAUGUUGCCUGUCAACGAUAGCUCAUAGCAAGCCUGUCUUAAAUGUGCAUCCGAUGUUUGAUUGUGUCUGUUGGGAUGAAAUUUCAGCUUUAUCUAGGCUCAAAGAGAAUCAUGUUCCAAGUUUUUUUUCCCCCACCUAUACUGUAAAAAUAAUUUUGAGUGAGUAUUCCCAAAGAGACAACGCAAUUAUCGAAUUAAAUGUAUCUUGUUGCUAAAAAA